GACGAACGCUGGCGGCGUGCUUAACACAUGCAAGUCGAACGGAAAGGCCUUUUCGGAGGUACUCGAGUGGCGAACGGGUGAGUAACACGUGGGUGAUCUGCCCUGCACUCUGGGAUAAGCCUGGGAAACUGGGUCUAAUACCGGAUAGGACCGCACUUUAGUGUGUGUGGUGGAAAGUUUUUUCGGUGUAGGAUGAGCCCGCGGCCUAUCAGCUUGUUGGUGGGGUAAUGGCCUACCAAGGCGGCGACGGGUAGCCGGACUGAGAGGUUGGUCGGCCACAUUGGGACUGAGAUACGGCCCAGACUCCUACGGGAGGCAGCAGUGGGGAAUAUUGCACAAUGGGCGCAAGCCUGAUGCAGCGACGCCGCGUGGGGGAUGACGGCCUUCGGUUUGUAAACUCCUUUCGCCAGGGACGAAGCGUUUUGUGACGGUACCUGGAGAAGAAGCACCGGCUAACUACGUG
rnacentral:rRNA from 1 species